CUUCAAGUCUGCUGUUAAAAAGUGGAGCUUAACUCCAUCAUGGCAGUGGAAACUGUUGGGCUUGAGUGUGGUAGGGGCAGAGGGAAUUCCCGGUGUAGCGGUGAAAUGCGUAGAUAUCGGGAAGAACACCAGUGGCGAAGGCGCUCUGCUGGGCCAUCACUGACGCUCAUGGACGAAAGCCAGGGGAGCGAAAGGGAUUAGAUACCCCUGUAGUCCUGGCCGUAAACGAUGAACACUAGGUGUCGGGGGAAUCGACCCCCUCGGUGUCGUAGCCAACGCGUUAAGUGUUCCGCCUUGGGGGAGUACGCACGCAAGUGUGAAACUCAAAGGAAUUGACGGGGGGCCCGGCACAAGCGGUGGAGUAUGUGGUUUAAUUCGAUGCAACGCGAAAGAACCUUUACCAGGGUUUGACAUCCUGCGAAUCUCUUGGGAAAACGAGAGAGUGCCUUCGGGAACGCAGUGACAGGUGGUGCAUGGCUGUCGUCAGCUCGUGUCGUGAGAUGUUGGGUUAAGUCCCGCAACGAGCGCAACCCACGUCUUUAGUUGCCAGCAUUUAGUUGGGCACUCUAGAGAGACCGCCGGUGAUAAACCGGAGGAAGGUGUGGAUGACGUCAAGUCAUCAUGCCCCUUACAUCCUGGGCUACACACGUACUACAAUGCUACGGACAAAGGGCAGCAAGUUCGCGAGGACAAGCAAAUCCCAUAAACCGUGGCUCAGUUCAGAUCGUAGGCUGCAACUCGCCUACGUGAAGGAGGAAUCGCUAGUAAUCGCAGGUCAGC
rnacentral:rRNA from 1 species